rnacentral:lncRNA from 1 species
CAGCUGCACCUGUGCCAUAUGGAAGUUCCCAGGCUAGGGUUUGAAUCCGAGCUGCAGUUGCAGGCCUCCGCCACAGCCACAGCAACAUUAGAUUUGAGCCACAUCCGCGAGCUACACCACAGCUUGGGUCGACAUCGGAUCCUUAACCCACUGAGCAAGGCCAGAGAUCAAACCCACAUCCUCAUGGACACUCUGUCAGGUUCGUAACCCGCUAAGCCACAACAGAAACUCCUUAAUUUCUUUUCAAAUCAAAAGAAAAAGGAACACAAACUUUUAGGCUGGAGAAAAUGUUUUAACAUGUAACAUUAAUAUGUUCAUAUUUUUACCAACAUGGUUGUAAAGUUUAAUUUUAUGUGGACGAGAGGGGGCAUCUCGAAGGCAAAAGUGCCCAGGAGUCACGGACGUCUGAAUGCAGCCCUGAGCAGCCCGGAGGGGAGGGACCAGGGUUAGGCACACUUGCAAGUGGAUGGAAGAAAGCCCCCCUCCUUUUUGGCCCUGAAGAUGCAGCUUCUGCACCCCCCACCCCAGGACCCCUGCUUCCAUGUCACUCCCAGAGCUUCCUGCUGCCGAGAGGCUCUUUAAAAAUCAGGUCCAGGAGUUCCCGUUGUGGUGCAGUGGAAACAGAUCCAACUAGGAGCCAUGAGGUUGAGGGCUCAAUCCCUGGCCUCGCUCAGUGGGUUAAGGAUCUGGCAUUGCCGUGAGCUGUGGUAUAGGUUGCAGAUGCGGCUUGGAUCUGGCGUUGCUGUGGCUGUGGUGUAGGCCAGUGGCAACAGCUCCAAUUAGACCCCUAGCCUAGGAACCUCCAUAUGCCGUGGGUGUGGCCCUAAAAAAAUUAAAUUAAAUUAAAUUUUAAAAAAUUAGGACAGCGGUGGGGGGCUGGGUGGGCAAAGAAAGCCAAGAACCUCCCCACCCCCCCCAACCCCCACCGAGACAAGCCCUACUGCAAUCCAUUUGCUCUCUUCCCAUCUGUAUUUGAAUAUUCACCAAACAUAAAGCCAUUUUCACCAUUUUCUAGGGUCUGAGUCCACAGCACCUAGCAAUUCCCAGUGUGGUGCAGCCAUCACUGCUCCCCAAUUCCAGAACAUUCUCAUCCUUCCAAAAGGAAACCCCACACCUGCUAAGCAGUCACCCCCCCCAGCCCCCCCACCCCCAGGCCCUGGCAAUCACUAAUCUGCUUUCUGUCCCUACACACUUGCCUAUUCUGGAAUAUUUUCCAUCAGCGGAUUCAUACAAUGUGUGGUCCUUUGGUUUCUGGCUUUCACCGGGCAGAGCUUUCAAGGCUCCUCCUGCUGUAGCACCAACCAUCUGUACUGAUUCUUUCUAUGGCUGAACACCAUGCCGUUAGAGGCUAACGUUCAUUUUUCUCCUCCCUUUGCAGCAACAAGAGCCCUCAGAAGAGACAGCAAAAACCUCUCUGAUUGACCUCAUCCAACCUCAGUUCAAGGGCUCAACUCGGUAAGAGACACCGGUCUUAAAAACAGAGAAGGGGGUGACGACAUUUUUGGGGGGGCACUGAGCCCUGGCCUGGAAUUGAACCCACAUCACAGCAGUAAUAAGGCCUGAUCCUUUAAUCCUUAGGCCACCAGGGAACUCAGCAGUGACAUUUUUAAACUGCAGAAUGUGCAAAAUCAGACACACAGACAAGCCGUACAAAUAUCUACUCUCUUUGGCAUGUGCCCUCAUGCCCUUCCUCGGGUCCAUCACCCAGGGCCCCAGGGAGCCGAGGACUGAUUCUGCACUUCGAUGAGGGGUUCUAGAAGGGGCAAGGUGAGCGGGGGUGUGCCCGUCUCCGCCAGAAGCCCAUUUCACCUGACACACUGGCAAAGCUGGCUGCUGGCUCCCAGCCACCCUCACCCCCGAAGGUGGAAGGAACCAGCCAUGUGUUCUGGGGAAAACAAAGUCAGAAAGGGGCCGGCGGGCAGGAGAAAGAGGAGGGGGAGACGGCAGGGCCGCGGGGAGGCAGGGGCAGCAGAGAGGCAGCAUCCUGCCCAAAAUGAAGGAGCUCCUAUUUGAAGGGAAGGAGGAUGAGAGCAGCCGAGCGGACGGCCCAGAGGAAGAGGAGCAGGCUGACCAAGUCCACGGGCUCCCGCUGCCCUCCCCCCACACACACACACCUGGCUGGCAGAACCAGGAACCUGGGGGACCCAUCUCUGCCCUGUCCCCCAACCUCAUGGAGUUUCAAAGAACCAGAUGAGGGUUAGGACUGCCAGCUCGGACACGCAAGUCAGUUUGGGUGUUUCUAUGACGGAAAAGAGAAAAAAAAAGGUACGAAGGUUCAAGGAUGUUUGUGGCAGCCUUGUGGCGAGAAAGGGAAACCCAGCAGUCCCAGCUCGGGGACUCGGUAGGAAAACAGGGCUCACUGACUCCCUGGUCCUUGUGCCUUGAAGGACCAUCACCACGGCUGAGUCACAAGAAAACCACCCUUGUUAUAAAAGUGAAAGAUGAGAAGAGAAUCCACAGUCUGGGUAUGCGGGACCCGCAGGACACAGACACCUGGUCAACAGCUCUAAGGAGACAUCAGCACAGUCCGUCUUCAAGGCACUGUCACGUGUCCACGGUUUCUUUGUCUUUUCCUUUCUGUGUGUGCAGCAUCUUUUUAGGACCACAUCCAUGGCAAAUGGACGUUCCCAGGCUAGGGGGUCGCAUCGAAGCUGUAGCUGCCGACCGACGCCCCAGCCACAGCCACAUGGGAUCCGAGCCACGUCUGUGACCUACAUGGCAGCUCGCAGCAACAGCAGAUCCUAAACCCACUGAGCGAGGCCAGGGAUCGAACCCCAGUCCUCAUGGACGCCUCAUUCGGGCUGGUUACCACCGAGCCACAGUGGGAACACCCACAUUUUCUGAUACUGUUUUAAGAUCGCGGCCGCCGUGAGGAUGAAUGAAACCGGCCUCCACAUCCACCACCUGCAAAUCGUUUGCCUUAACAUCGCCCUUCACUUUCUCUCCUUGCAUGGAAGUCAUUCCUUAGAACUCUCUUGGAAUAAAAGCCGGCCGCCCCUUCCACACAUGUGUGCGUGUGUAUACACGCGCAUGUGCGCGCGCACACACACACACACACACACACACACUUGGCAGUGCCCCUCAGCCAUUCUCAGGCCUGGACCAUGGGUGGCACCUGAGGCCAGGCCAUCAGCACAGGGAGCCCCGGCCGCUUUUCUCUCUCGAGGGGGAUGUGCUCGACAUGCAGAGCUCCGAGCAGAGAGAGGUCACCAAGGGAGAAAGACGUCUCGGUGCCUGGAAGGAAUCCCAGGGCAGGCGGCUCCCUCCCUCUGCCAGCUCCUCUGUGUCCACUGGUCCUUCUCGGGCGGGCGGGGGCGCAGGAAGAGAGGAGGCGGCAGGAUAGAGCUGUGAGUCAGUGGAGCCAAAACAACCUGGACAGAGGGCUCCCCCCGACCCGACCCCCUCCGCCGUGCACACGGGCCAAGCUUGGAGACUCGCGUCCCUCCCUGGAGGGCCCUUGGAGAAUUCUGCACUCCGCCCCCAGCCCGCCAGUCCACUCCACGGGACAGACGGUCCUUAAGCUGCGGCUGGGCACCAAGCAGGUCCGAGAACAAAACUCAAGAGUCUCCAGACAUUUCCAGGACAUGGAGUUUAUGAGGGGCAGGAAAAGGAGAAGCCAGAGGCCAGGAAUACACGUCAGCAGCCUGUUAAGGAAACACCCAGUUUGGCCAAAAGGUAAAAGGGAAGAACAAGUUUCACGGCAUCGUCUAUACAAGAAGAUUCAAAAUCAGCAGCGACCUCCGCUCCAGGCUUGUAUUAAGCAACGUGUGACGGUCAUUUGGCAGAACAGUGUGCAGGCGUCAAAACUAAAUGCAAAGACAAGGAGCCUAAGAGCUUGAAAAGGCGGUUCCCUGGGGGUUCCACGGCCCUGUCCCUGCCAUAGCUCGGGACUCUUCUGUGGCUCGGGUUGGAUCCCCGGCCCGGGAACUUCUGCAUGAGGCAGGGGCAACCAAAAAGAAGUGAAAACGCAAGAACAAAAGGUUAAGCCCAAAGGGAUAAGCUGUGGGCUCUGAGAUGACGAGGCUGCAAAUCCCACUGGAAAUGUCAACUGAGUGGCGAUGAGGCAGGAUUCUAGUGAGAGUCGGUUUUUUUGUUUGUUUGUUUCCAUUAUGAAGUUACUCUGAGUGACAAAUCUGGUUUAAGGAGGGAGUAAAACAGCAAGAGGAACUCCCAGGGCACCUCCAGCUAGCUCUGCCUCGCCCCCUCCCCGACCCUUGUGGGACAAUUGUGACACGUUUGCUGACUGAGUACGCGGCUCCUCCCCCUCCCGGUCUCCCAACUGGUGGAGGUGACAAGGGAAGAGGCCAGCAAAUGAAAUUACUUGGGCAUCUUUGCCUCUGUCUGCAACAGCCUGGAGAAUCAGCGGGGAGGAGAAAAAUCAGCAGCGGGGGUGAGGGGGAAGCUUGCAGAGGGGAGGGUUUGCCAGCAUCCAGCCAGGCCCCUUUGUGGGAGAGCGGGGACAAUGGGAUGGGAGGGCCACCCCCUUCCUGGCUGGACCACGUUCCAGUUUUCCACGGCUUUAACUGCGAGGAAACAGACCCGCUCUGUCUGUCAUUAUGACUUUAAGUCACCACAGCUGGAAGGAGGAAGCCAGAUCCCCUGAAGCUGGCUGGCAAGGUGGGACGCAGGGAUCAGAGCCCCGGCGGGGCGGGAAGCGCUGAAGACAAGACCCUUCUCUGGGUGCAGCCCCGCCCACCACCCCAGCUCCCCCUGUUGCACGGUUCCCCUUAACGCAGUCACGGCCGCACACUGGACACACGUGCUAGACUCAAGGGAAAGUCAGUGGGAGCUGUUUUCUCAGAAACAUACUAAGCGAAGGCAGCCAGAUACAGAAGAAGGGCUAUCUCAGAUCAUGUGUCUCUUUUCUGUCAGAGGCUGCAGGAAGGGUGACAGGACCCUGGGCUGGCCCAGCCUGAGUCCAACGGCCUCGGUGUGGAGUUUGUCAUAGCGGAAUGUCCACAGCCAGCACCGGGCAUCCCCACCACGGCUCCCAUGGGCAGGUGGCAAGCAGUCCAAGCACCCCCCCCCACAAGCUGGCAGUCAGGGGGCAGUCAGGGCUGCAGUCCUGGGAACUCCCACUGGAGGGGUAGGUGUCCCCUCCCCUUCCUAAAGCAGCCUUGCCUGGUGGGCCCCACACACACACACACAUAUCGCGGGACCAAGAGCAAAUUAAUUCUGCAAGGACCCCAGGGUCAUAAGAGACAUGGCAGCGCUUCUGCCAAAGAGAGACAGGCGAGGGGAAACCACUUAGGGUCUACAAGCCCCUUGGGUUAGAAAGCAAAUCACCAUUACCUAGAAGCCUGCGUCACUGAGUUUGGGGACACACGCCCACAGGGGCGGCGGGGGUGUCUCUGGAAAGAUGAAGUUCUGGGGAGGGGCUCCGGGGGUGGGUCUUGGAGGGCCUCUCCACUGCCCCCAGACACCUGAGGUCUCCGUCCGAACAGAAAGGCCAGAGAAGCGCCGUCUCCCCACAUCCCAGAGGGCCUGCCUGCAGGUUCUGGGGCCUUCUCUGUGGCCAGCCAAACCUAGCCCACCGGGACCCCCCACAUCAAGGCAGACCCCUCUGUCCAUCCUCCCUCCCAAGCCCAGGGUAUCUUCUGCGCCACUAUCAAGGAGCGGGGCUGAUAAGGAAGCAGUUCCCCCAAACCCGCUCCAGAACAUGAGGCACAGGGACCAGCCACCUCAAAAGUCCCACCCAGCCUGGGUCCUGGACUCCUGCAGCCCCUUGAAGGGGCCCAGGCCCCCGGGACAGAAGCGUGGACUCUCCCUGCACCGGAGCCCUUCUCACACGCCCUCUCCCUGCCCCCAGCCCUCGCUCGCCCUGACCUCCCCAAACAAAGGUGCUUUUCUCCCUGCUUCUCGGGGUCACCACGUUUUCAUCAGACCUGUGCUUGUUUUCUUUCUGCUUGGGCCCAACUUGGCGAGCCUCCCCCGGCACCACCAUACCCUGGAGACAAACCCCGUAUUGUUUCCAUAGACCUAAUAAAUGACAACCCUUCCUACCUCCUUUCAAGAACCCCGCUAGCUCCCCCAGCUCCCCCCACACACACACCCGCCUGAGGUCUCCCUUGUGCGAA